UACGAAGGGGACUAGCGUUGUUCGGAAUUACUGGGCGUAAAGCGCACGUAGGCGGAUUUGUUAGUCAGGGGUGAAAUCCCGGGGCUCAACCUCGGAACUGCCUUUGAUACUGCAAAUCUCGAGUCCGAUAGAGGUGGGUGGAAUUCCUAGUGUAGAGGUGAAAUUCGUAGAUAUUAGGAAGAACACCGGUGGCGAAGGCGGCCCACUGGAUCGGUACUGACGCUGAGGUGCGAAAGCGGGGGGAGCAAACAGG
rnacentral:rRNA from 1 species